rnacentral:rRNA from 1 species
GAUGAACGUUGGCGGUGUGCCUAAUACAUGCAAGUCGAACGGAGAUUGUAGCAAUACGGUCUUAGUGGCGAACGGGUGAGUAACGCGUUGGUGAUCUGCCUCGAAGUGUGGAAUAACGAUUCGAAAGAAUCGCUAAUACCGCAUAGUCUCUCUUUUUUCCAGAAAUUUGAGAGUAAAGGAUUUAUUCGCUUUGAGAGGAGCCUGCGUCCCAUCAGCUAGUUGGUAAGGUAAUGGCCUACCAAGGCGAUGACGGGUAGGGGACCUGAGAGGGUGGCCCCCCACAAUGGAACUGAAACACGGUCCAUACACCUACGGGUGGCAGCAGUAGGGAAUAUUAGAAAUGGACGAAAGUCUGAUCUAGCAACACCGCGUGUGCGAAGAACGGCCUUCGGGUUGUAAAGCACUUUUUGGAAGGAUUAAGGAAGGAAUGUACUUCCAGAAUAAGUCUACGGCUAACUACGUG